UACAGAGGUCCCAAGCGUUGUCCGGAUUCAUUGGGCGUAAAGGGUGCGUAGGCGGCGCGGUAAGUCGGGUGUGAAAUCUCGGAGCUUAACUCCGAAACUGCAUUCGAUACUGCCGUGCUUGAGGACUAGAGAGGAGACUGGAAUUUACGGUGUAGCGGUGAAAUGCGUAGAUAUCGUAAGGAAGACCAGUGGCGAAGGCGGGUCUCUGGACAGUUCCUGACGCUGAGGCACGAAGGCCAGGGGAGCAAACGGG
rnacentral:rRNA from 1 species